rnacentral:other from 1 species
GUCUCCCUGUUGUGUUCGAUUAAGAAUUUAAUUUCUUGAGCCAACAGUUUGUGAACGGGGUUGAUGGAUCGGCUGUGGUGUGCAGACCCUCUCUGGGAGGGAAGCCUAAAACAGUUCACGGAUACCCCACCUGUCCUUGACAGGUUCAAAAAAUAGUUUUUGCUCGGCACUAACGGGGAGACU